rnacentral:rRNA from 1 species
CCUACGGGUGGCAGCAGUGGGGAAUAUUGCACAAUGGGGGAAACCCUGAUGCAGCGACGCCGCGUGAGUGAAGAAGGAAUUCGUUAUGUAAAGCUCUAUCAGCAGGGAAGAAAAUGACGGUACCUGAGUCAGAAGCCCCGGCUAACUACGUGCCAGCAGCCGCGGUCAUACGGAGGGGGCAAGCGUUAUCCGGAUUUACUGGGGGUAAAGGGAGAGUAGACGGCUUGGCAAGUCUGGAGUGAAAGGCGGGGGCCCAACCCCAGGACUGCUCUGGAAACUGUACGGCUGGAGUGCAGGAGAGGUGAGUAGAAUUCCUGGUGUAGCGGUGAAAUGCGUAGAGAUUAGGAGGAACACCAGUGGCGAAGGCGGCUUACUGGACUGUAACUGACGUUGAGGCUCGAAAGCGUGGGGAGCAAACAGGAUUAGAUACCCCUGUAGUC